rnacentral:rRNA from 1 species
CGCUUCGAGAUGAGCCUGCGGCCCAUCAUGGUAGUUGGUAGGGUAAUGGCCUACCCAAGCCGAAGACGGGUAGCUGGUCUGAGAGGAUGAUCAGCCACACUGGAACUGAGACACGGUCCAGACUCCUACGGGAGGCAGCAGUGGGGAAUCUUGCGCAAUGGGCGAAAGCCUGACGCAGCGACGCCGCGUGAGUGAUGAAGGCCUUCGGGUUGUAAAGCUCUGUGGAGGGGGACGAAUAAGGGUUGGCUAACAUCCAGCUCGAUGACGGUACCCCUUUAGCAAGCACCGGCUAACUCUGUGCCAGCAGCCGCGGUAAGACAGAGGGUGCAAACGUUGUUCGGAAUUACUGGGCGUAAAGCGCGUGUAGGCCGCUUGGAAAGUCGGAUGUGAAAAGCCCCUGGGCUCAACCUAGGAAGUGCAUUCGAAACUUCCAAGCUGGAGUGCUGGAGAGGAAAGCGGAAUUCUCGGUGUAGAGGUGAAAUUCGUAGAUAUCGAGAGGAACACCGGUGGCGAAGG